UACGUAGGCAGCGAGCGUUGUUCGGAGUUACUGGGCGUAAAGGGUGUGUAGGCGGUUGUUUAAGUUUGGUGUGAAAUCUCCCGGCUCAACUGGGAGGGUGCGCCGAAUACUGAUGACUAGAGUGCGGGAGAGGAAAGUGGAAUUCCUGGUGUAGCGGUGAAAUGCGUAGAUAUCAGGAGGAACACCGGUGGUGUGGACGGCUUUCUGGACCGUAACUGACGCUGAGACACGAAAGCGUGGGUAGCAAACAGG
rnacentral:rRNA from 1 species